rnacentral:rRNA from 1 species
CUACGGGCUGCACCAGUAAGGAAUAUUGCGCAAUGGAGGCAACUCUGACGCAGCCAUGCCGCGUGCAGGAAGAAGGCCUUAUGGGUCGUAAACUGCUUUUAUUUAGGAAUAAACCCCCGAAUGUGUUCGGGGCUGAAGGUACUAAACGAAUAAGAACCGGCGAACUCCGUGCCAGCAGCCGCGGUAAUACGGAGGGUGCAAGCGUUAUCCGGAUUUAUUGGGUUUAAAGGGUGCGCAGGCGGGCUAUUAAGUCAGUGGUGAAAUCCCGGGGCUCAACUCCGGAACUGCCAUUGAUACUGAUAGUCUUGAGUUUGGUUGAAGUGGGCGGAAUGUAGCAUGUAGCGGUGAAAUGCAUAGAUAUGCUACAGAACACCAAUCGCGAAGGCAGCUCACUAAGCCAAAACUGACGCUCAUGCACGAAAGCGUGGGGAUCAAACAGGAUUAGAUACCCGGGUAGUC